rnacentral:rRNA from 1 species
UACAGAGGGUGCAAGCGUUAAUCGGAAUUACUGGGCGUAAAGCGUGCGUAGACGGUUAUGUAAGUCGGGUGUGAAAGCCCCGGGCUCAACCUGGGAAUGCCAUUCGAGACUGCAUAGCUAGGGUGCGGAAGAGGGAAGCGGAAUUUCCGGUGUGAGCGGUGAAAUGCGUAGAUAUCGGAAGGAACACCAGUGGCGAAAGCGGCUUCCUGGUCCAGCACCGACGUUCAGGCACGAAAGCGUGGGGGAGCAAACAGG